UACCUUUUGUAUAAUGGGUCAGCGACUUAUAUUCUGUAGCAAGGUUAACCGAAUAGGGGAGCCGAAGGGAAACCGAGUCUUAACUGGGCGUUAAGUUGCAGGGUAUAGACCCGAAACCCGGUGAUCUAGCCAUGGGCAGGUUGAAGGUUGGGUAACACUAACUGGAGGACCGAACCGACUAAUGUUGAAAAAUUAGCGGAUGACUUGUGGCUGGGGGUGAAAGGCCAAUCAAACCGGGAGAUAGCUGGUUCUCCCCGAAAGCUAUUUAGGUAGCGCCUCGUGAAUUCAUCUCCGGGGGUAGAGCACUGUUUCGGCAAGGGGGUCAUCCCGACUUACCAACCCGAUGCAAACUGCGAAUACCGGAGAAUGUUAUCACGGGAGACACACGGCGGGUGCUAACGUCCGUCGUGAAGAGGGAAACAACCCAGACCGCCAGCUAAGGUCCCAAAGUCAUGGUUAAGUGGGAAACGAUGUGGGAAGGCCCAGACAGCCAGGAUGUUGGCUUAGAAGCAGCCAUCAUUUAAAGAAAGCGUAAUAGCUCACUGGUCGAGUCGGCCUGCGCGGAAGAUGUAACGGGGCUAAACCAUGCACCGAAGCUGCGGCAGCGACACUAUGUGUUGUUGGGUAGGGGAGCG
rnacentral:rRNA from 1 species